AUUUAGGACGUAUUAGUCAUUUUGCGCUUUAAAGUGGUGGGUCGUAGACACUAUUUAAAUUAUUUGCAAAUUACUUUAACGGGUUUUCGGACUUUUGAGAUUUUCCUUCUGUGUCCUCUUUAUAAUACACUAUUUUGUCAUUUAGUGCUACUGGGCCAAAGGGUUUUUUUGCUAAAAGCAUGUCCCAAUUUCACUGUGGGUGUGGGAAUCCUGGCUGGAAUUCAGCCUCUGCCUCUUAAAGUCAAUCAGUGCCCUCUCUUUUUCUCUCUCUCAAACGAAAGCACAAAUUAUUUUCCUUGCAAAUCGAUUUGUUCGAUUUGAACGGCCAUCGCCAUAGAGAAUCGAUCAGGUCGUUGAUCGGGCUUGGGUUAUGAUCACCUUCAUUUAGCGAGGGAGAUAGAGAGGAAUUCCAUUUUGUUUCUCGAAAGAGUGCAUAAAGGUUGGAUUUGAUCAUCUUCAACCGUAGAGAGAGAGAAUUAAGUUAGUGCAUUAAGGGCCCAAAAAUUUAAAGACUAAAAUGAUGGCAAAACUGUCUUAUUGGUGGAUCGGCGGCGUCACAUGAUAAUAAGGAGGAAGGCUGAGGGUCGGGAAUGGUUCCUUACUUUGCCCUUCCAGUCUGAAUACCAAGGAAGAACAGAGAAGAAGAAGAAAUUGUCUGGGUAAUGGACACUGUCUUUCUCUAUCUUGUGUUGAGUUAUUGAAACCCUAAUAAUUGUUUACUUCUUGUGUUUUCUUAUUACCGAUGCAGUGAUUUGGGCUUCCACCAUGGAGGCCAUGUGGUUGGCAAACAAUAGAGAACUAAUGUUGAACUCUGAUGGGCAUACCAGGUUGGGCCCUUUGUUAAACAUAGAUCCCCGUUGAAAAGAACAUAAUUUUGCCUUUUAUCAGUUAGAGUUGUCAUGAUAGACAAAAGGUCUUGAGCAAGCUGGAACCAAGAGAGGCUCUUGACAUUAGAAAUCGCAUGGUAUGGUUGAAAGGAUUUGGCAACUAACUUGAAUCGACUUUUAUU